AGAGUUUGAUCCUGGCUCAGAGUGAACGCUGGCGGCGUGGAUUAGGCAUGCAUGUCGAGCGAUCCCGCAAGGGAUAGCGGCAAAUGGGUGAGUAACACGUGAGCAACUUGCCCUUAAGUCAGACAUAGCUCCGUGAAAACGGGGGUAAUAUCUGAUGUGAUUAUUGAGACGCAUGUUUCGAUAAUCAAAGGUGGGGACCGCAAGGCCUACCGCUUAAGGAUGGGCUCGCGUCCUAUCAGCUUGUUGGUGAGGUAACGGCUCACCAAGGCGUAUGACGGGUAGCUGGUCUGAGAGGAUGGUCAGCCACACUGGGACUGAGACACUGCCCAGACUCCUACGGGAGGCUGCAGUCGAGAAUAUUUAGCAAUGGGCGAGAGCCUGACUAUGCGACGCCGCGUGAGGGAUGAAGGUUUUCGGAUCGUAAACCUCUUUUGUCAGGAAAGAAAAAACUUGAUCUAACAUAUCAAGUCUUGCCGGUACCUGACGAAUAAGCCACGGCCAACUCCGUGCCAGCAGCCGCGGUAAUACGGAGGUGGCAAGCGUUACUCGGAAUCAUUGGGUGUAAAGGGCAAGUAGGCGGUCUGAUAAGUGAGGGGUGAAAUCUUCCGGCUCAAUCGGAAAAUUGCCUUUCAAACUAUCAGACUUGAGGCAGGAAGAGGGAAAUGGAAUUCUCGGUGUAAGGGUGAAAUCUGUAGAUAUCGAGAAGAACACCAGCAGCGAAGGCGAUUUCCUGGUCCUGUCCUGACGCUGAAUUGCGAAAGCUUGGGGAGCAAACAGAAUUAGAUACUCUGGUAGUCCAAGCCGUAAACGAUGAGCACUAGGUAUUGGAUCGUAAGGUUCAGUGCCGCAGCUAACGCAUUAAGUGCUCCACCUGGGGACUACGGUCGCAAGGCUAAAACUCAAAGGAAUUGACGGGGACCCGCACAAGCGGUGGAACAUGUGGUUUAAUUCGAUGAUACGCGAAGAACCUCACCAGGGCUUGACAUGUAGGAAGUAGUGAACUGAAAAGGAAACGAGCCGUCAAGUCCGGCAACCUACACAGGUGCUGCAUGGCUGUCGUCAGCUCGUGUCGUGAGAUGUUGGGUUAAGUCCCGCAACGAGCGCAACCAUUUUCCCAUGUUGCCACUUGUUUUUGCCGUAAGGCAGAAGCAAAGCACUCUUGGGAGACCGCCUGGGAUAACCAGGAGGAAGGUGGAGAUGACGUCAAGUCAGUACGGCCCUUAUGUCCUGGGCUACACACGUGUUACAAUGGCUGAUACAAAGGGUUGCCAACCCGCAAGGGGGAGCUAAUCUCAAAAAAUCAGCCUCAGUUCAGAUUGAAGUCUGCAAUUCGACUUCAUGAAGCCGGAAUCGCUAGUAAUGGAAGAUCAGCACGCUUCCGUGAAUACGUUCCCGGGUCGUGUACACACCGCCCGUC
rnacentral:rRNA from 1 species